rnacentral:rRNA from 1 species
UACGUAGGGUGCAAGCGUUGUCCGGAAUUAUUGGGCGUAAAGAGCUCGUAGGCGGCUUGUCGCGUCGACUGUGAAAACCCGCGGCUCAACUGUGGGCUUGCAGUCGAUACGGGCAGGCUGGAGUUCGGUAGGGGAGUGUGGAAUUCCCGGUGUAGCGGUGAAAUGCGCAGAUAUCGGGAGGAACACCAGUAGCGAAGGCGGCACUCUGGGCCGGUACUGACGCUGAGGAGCGAAAGCGUGGGGAGCGAACAGG